CCUACGGGCGGCAGCAGUGAGGAAUAUUGGUCAAUGGUCGGGAGACUGAACCAGCCAAGCCGCGUGAGGGAGGAAGGUACAGAGUAUCGUAAACCUCUUUUGUCAGGGAACAAAGACUGGGACGCGUCCCCGGAUGAGUGUACCUGAAGAAAAAGCAUCGGCUAACUCCGUGCCAGCAGCCGCGGUAAUACGGAGGAUGCGAGCGUUAUCCGGAUUUAUUGGGUUUAAAGGGUGCGUAGGCGGAACAUUAAGUCAGCGGUAAAAUCGAGGGGCUCAACCCCUUUAAGCCGUUGAAACUGGUGAUCUUGAGUGGGCGAGAAGUAUGCGGAAUGCGUGGUGUAGCGGUGAAAUGCAUAGAUAUCACGCAGAACUCCGAUUGCGAAGGCAGCAUACCGGCGCCCGACUGACGCUGAGGCACGAAAGCGUGGGGAUCGAACAGGAUUAGAUACCCGUGUAGUC
rnacentral:rRNA from 1 species